rfam:Thetispelecaris remex small subunit ribosomal RNA gene, complete sequence.
CCUGGUUGAUCCUGCCAGUAGUCAUAUGCUCGUCUCAAAGACUAAGCCAUGCAUGUCUGAGUUCCGAGUGAUUUGAGAAUCGAAACCGCACAAGGCUCAGUAAAACAGUCAUUAUCUGCUGUUGUACCUGUGCCCAAAUGGACAACUGUGGCAAUUCUAGAGCUAAUACAUGCGCUGCAUCCGCUUCCGUUGAGGUGCGGGUGCCCUUAUUUUGCCAAAGCCAAUAUAGGCCUCGGCCUGUAGUCGUGUUGAAUCUGGAUAAGUGUAGGGAGCAAAAUUUGGUUGUGAGACCAAUGCAUUGAAUUUGAAGUGUCUGCCUUAUCAGCUUGACUUUAGGUUAAGCUCCUAAAGUGGCUGUAACAGGUGACGGGGAAUCAGGGUUCGAUUCCGGAGAGGGAGCCUGAGAAAUGGCUACCACGUCUAAGGAAGGCAGCAGGCGCGCAAAUUACCCACUUCCAGCAGGGAGAGGUAGUGACGAAAAAUAACGAUGCGGGUGCUCAUCCGAGGCCUCGCAAUCGGAAUGAGUGUUGCUUAAAGGAUGACAUGAGUACCUAUUGGAGGGCAAGUCUGGUGCCAGCAGCCGCGGUAAUUCCAGCUCCAAUAGCGUAUAUUAAAGUUGCUGUGGUUAAAACGCUCGUAGUUGAAGUCCUGCUCCAGCCCUCUGGCACUGUAACUGCAAAGUGCUUUGCUGGUUGGGGUUUUACUGGGGCGGCCUGUUGCCAUGCUGCGAGAUGCCCUUAACUGGGUGUCGCGCUGUUGGUUAGUGUUUACUUUGAAAAAAUUAGAGUGCUCAAAGCAGGCGUAUUGUGUCUGUAUGGUGGUGCAUGGAAUAAUAGAAAAGGUCUUUGGCUCCUGUUUGGAUUGGUUUUAAGAGCAUCGAAGAAAUGAUUAACGGAGGCAGGCGGGGGCAUUCGUACUGCGGCGCUAGAGGUGAAAUUCUUGGACCGUCGCAUGACGAACAACUGCGAAAGCAUUUGCCAAGAAUGUUUUCGUUGAUCAAGGACGAAAGCCUGGGGCUCGAAGGCGAUCAGAUACCGCCCUAGUCCAGUCCGUAAACUAUGCCGACCAGCGAUCUGCCGGAGUCGUACCCAUGACCUGGCAGGAAGCUUGUGGGAAACCAAAGUUUUUGGGUUCCAGGGGAAGUAUGGUUGCAAAGCUGAAACUUAAAGGAAUUGACGGAAGGGCACCACCAGGAGUGGAGCCUGCGGCUUAAUUUGACUCAACACGGGGAAACUGACCAGGCCCGAACACUGAAAGGACUGACAGAUUGAGAUCUCUCUCUCGAUACAGUGGGUGGUGGUGCAUGGCCGUUCUUAGUUGGUGGAACGAUUUGUCUGGUUAAUUCCGAUAACGAACGAGACUCUAACUUGCUAACAAGUUGGUGGGUUGUUCUCAUGAUGUGUUGCUGGCGUGCUGGUUGUGGUGGAGCUCGUCUCUGCUGUGGCGGGUACUGUCGGCAAGAAACUUGGGUCCCACCUUAUGCGCUUCUUAGAAGGAUUAGUGGUUGCUUAACCACAAGAAAGAGAGAGCAAUAACAGGUCUGUGAUGCCCUUAGAUGUUCUGGGCUGCACGCGCGCUACAAUGAAGUAGACAAGAGGAUGAUCCUUCACUGAAGAGUGCUGGGUAAUCCUAUAAAACUACUUCGUGCUUGGGCUUGGAAGUUGAAAGUUUCCUCCAUGAACAAGGAAUUCCAAGUAAGUGCCAGUCAUCAACUGGUGCUGAUUACGUCCCUGCCCUUUGUACACACCGCCCGUCGCUACUACCGAUUGGAUGGUGAGGUGAGGUCGUUGGAUCAGCCCCUUUGUGAUCUCUUUUUCCAUCUUCGGGUGGAGAGUCACCUCGGGCCAGCUGAGAAGAUGUCCAAGCUUUGCAAUCUAGAGGAAGUAAAAGUCGUAACAAGGUUUCCGUAGGUGAACCUGCGGAAGGAUCAUU